AUCCCUUCCUACCAUGGAAGAGCAUAUUCUUAUUUAUUGGCAAAGUUGUCGCCAUUUAAUUGGUAUUGGAUUCUGACUUGCACAAUUAACAUUC